rnacentral:rRNA from 1 species
UCAGGAUGAACGCUAGCGGCAGGCUUAACACAUGCAAGUCGAGGGGCAGCGGGAUGUAGCAAUACAUUGCCGGCGACCGGCGGAUGGGUGCGUAACGCGUAUGCAACCUACCUAUACAGGGGAAUAACCUUUCGAAAGGGAGACUAACACCCCAUAGUAUUGAUUUAAGGCAUCUUAGAUUAAUUAAAUAUUUAUAGGUAUAAGAUGGGCAUGCGUAUGAUUAGCUAGUUGGUAAGGUAACGGCUUACCAAGGCGACGAUCAUUAGGGGUUCUGAGAGGAAGGUCCCCCACACUGGUACUGAGACACGGACCAGACUCCUACGGGAGGCAGCAGUGAGGAAUAUUGGUCAAUGGGCGCAAGCCUGAACCAGCCAUGCCGCGUGCAGGAAAAGACGGCCUUAUGGGUUGUAAACUGCUUUUACAUAAGACUAACCGUAUAUUUGCGAAUAUACCUGAAUGUAUUAUGAGAAUAAGGAUCGGCUAACUCCGUGCCAGCAGCCGC